AAGAGGCAGGCAAUGUCCUAACAGGAGGUACAGCACACACAACUGCAGCUGCUCAGUGAGGCUCAGGUUCCUCACCUGUGAAAGGAGCUAUAGCGUCCAUUCAACUUUAGUUCCAUGUGGCCAUCUGCUGGGCCCCUCUGCCACCUUUGGUGUCUUUGCAUUUGGAGAGUUUCUUGUCUUACUAAUUCUAGGUCUCUAGUGUGGAAGUUAAGAACUCUUAACUUUCCUUGGCUGCCAAAGCACAGGCAGGUGACUUGGACUCUACCAGACACAUCACGAGACUCCAGGGAAAGGAUUAAAGCGGUGAUGUCACUCUCCUAGUCUGUUUCGACUUUCACUGCACCAUGAAAAGUCCCGAAUGGUUUCAUCAGCUUUGCACAGAAGAAUUGACCCAGAGGAAACUGUUUCAACUUUUUAGACAACCCAGAGGAUGAAUGUAGAAGAAAUUUGUCUGAGAAUGACUGAAGAACAACUGGAAGAAAAAGAAGAAAGGCUGAUACGGUGCACGGAGAGAACGGUGAUGGCUUCGCAGUGGCUUCGUGGUUCUCGGGUAAGAGCCUGAGAGAUCUGAAAGUCACCCGCAUGCACUGCACAAUUUACUUUCUUCCAUUGCUUUGAAUCACAAACCAGUUCUGCUACUUGGACCCUUGACAUCUCAGAAGGACAUGUUGCACUUUAACAAAGAAAAUCACUGUGAGUGACUUUCUCCAGAUUUUUGACAUGAACACGGGAGAAAACUCAGAACACAUGCUGAAGCCUACUCUCCACUUAAGAGAAGACCCUGUGGGACUCUUAGCAGAAAGCUGCUGUCAUCUCUGCAGCCAUCGAGGGCUAUUUACUUACAGGUGGAACUUUUCCACCCUGACAAGAAACUUGUUUUCCUGGCAUGAUGUUUUU
ensembl:processed_transcript